GACGAACGCUGGCGGCGUGCUUAACACAUGCAAGUCGAACGGAAAGGCCUCUUUCGGGGGGUACUCGAGUGGCGAACGGGUGAGUAACACGUGAGUAACCUGCCCUUGACUUUGGGAUAACUUCAGGAAACUGGGGCUAAUACCGGAUAGGAGCUCCUGCUGCUUGGUGGGGGUUGGAAAGUUUCGGCGGUUGGGGAUGGACUCGCGGCUUAUCAGCUUGUUGGUGGGGUAGUGGCUUACCAAGGCUUUGACGGGUAGCCGGCCUGAGAGGGUGACCGGCCACAUUGGGACUGAGAUACGGCCCAGACUCCUACGGGAGGCAGCAGUGGGGAAUAUUGCACAAUGGGUGGAAGCCUGAUGCAGCAACGCCGUGUGCGGGAUGACGGCCUUCGGGUUGUAAACCGCUUUCGCUCAUGACGAAGCUUUGUGUGACGGUAGUGGGUAAAGAAGCACCGGCUAACUACGUG
rnacentral:rRNA from 1 species